AGGAUAAACGCUGGCGGCGUGCAUGAGACAUGCAAGUCGAACGGACGAUCAGGGCUUGCUCUGAUCGUUAGUGGCGGACGGCUGAGUAACGCGUAGGUGACCUGCCCCGAAGUGGGGGAUAACUGCCCGAAAGGGUGGCUAAUACCGCAUGCGGUGGUUCGUUCGUUCGAACCAUCAAAGCAGCAAUGCGCUUCAGGAGGGGCCUGCGUCCGAUUAGCUCGUUGGGUGGGUAACGGCUACACCAAGGCGACGAUCGGUAGGUGUCUGAGAGGACGAUCACCCAGACUGGGACUGACGACACCGGCCCAGACCUCCGUACGGGAGCAGCAGGUCGGUAAUUUCGACGACAAGUCGGGACGAAACGCCGUAGACGCGAGACCAACGCCGCGUGGA
rnacentral:rRNA from 1 species